AAUAGAUACCCGGGUAGUCCACGCCGUAAACGGUGAGUGCUAAGUGUUAAAGGGUUUCCGCCCUUUAGUGCUGCAGCUAACGCAUUAAGCACUCCGCCUGGGGAGUACGGCCGCAAGGCUGAAACUCAAAGGAAUUGACGGGGGCCCGCACAAGCGGUGGAGCAUGUGGUUUAAUUCGAAGCAACGCGAAGAACCUUACCAGGUCUUGACAUCCUCUGCCAACCCUAGAGAUAGGGCGUUCCCCUUCGGGGGACAGAGUGACAGGUGGUGCAUGGUUGUCGUCAGCUCGUGUCGUGAGAUGUUGGGUUAAGUCCCGCAACGAGCGCAACCCUUGAUCUUAGUUGCCAGCAUUCAGUUGGGCACUCUAAGGUGACUGCCGGUGACAAACCGGAGGAAGGUGGGGAUGACGUCAAAUCAUCAUGCCCCUUAUGACCUGGGCUACACACGUGCUACAAUGGAUGGUACAAAGAGCUGCGAACCCGCGAGGGUAAGCCAAUCUCAUAAAGCCAUUCUCAGUUCGGAUUGUAGG
rnacentral:rRNA from 1 species